rnacentral:rRNA from 1 species
GAAAACCAGCAAGUGGGUCCAAAGGAAUUGCAGAAGAACAUCAAAGACAAGUUCAAGAUAGAUUUACCAUACAUGAGGUUGUUCAAUGGUAAACAACAUGCUAUGGAUUCUAUUUAUGCUAACUCGCAGGAAAGUUUUCAAUUGUUGUAUUCAUUCAAAGGUGAAGUGGAGAGGACCAGCCCAGGUAGUAUUGUAGAUAUUGACCACCACACCGUGGAGUAUACAUUCAGGGGAGUGACAAAGACCAAGGAAUGCUUUAGGAGGGUUUUUGUCUGCUUUGAGGCUUGUCGCCGGGGUUUUUUGGCAAGCUGCAAGCCUUAUUUGGCUAUUGAUGCCACUUUUCUCACAGGGAGGUUUAAAGGACAGUUAGUAGCAGCUUGUGCAAUUGAUGCACACAGUUUUGUGUUUCCAGUUGCGUACAGUGUGCUGGAGACAGAGUCUGAGGAGAGCUGGACUUGGUUUUUGCAUAAUCUGCGCCGGGCUAUUGCACAUCCCAAUGGGUUGGUCAUUCAUACAGAUGCCUGCAAAGGUUUAGAAGUGUACAUGGACAAUGUGUUCCCCGGAGUAGAGCAUAGGGAAUGCAUGCGUCACCUUGCUGCAAAUUUCAUGAAGAAAUUCAAAGGAAAGGUGUAUACUGACAAUUUAUGGCCAGCAUCUUUGACUUGCAGUGUGAAGAAGCAAAUCUACCACUUGACGCAGUUAUACAUGAAUCCCAAAGUGAAAGAAUACUUGGAAACACACCACUCCAAGUUAUGGGCUAGAAGCCAAUUCAGUGAACUGAGCAAAGUUAACUACGUGCACAAUAAUCUAGCAGAGUCUUUCAACUCAACGAUCCGGAAA